CUUAUUCCUAGGUCCUAGGUCCUAAAAGCAUUAUUUCCCAGCAACACUUGUGAGUAAUAAUAAUGAUCAUGGGUUGGUUUUCAUGGCUUUAUUAUAUGCUCCUUGUCCUUUUUAUUUCUUCCUCUGUUUCUUCUUCAUCAAUACCUCUAUCCUCUGAUCCUCCUCGGUUUCCUUCCUUUCCAUCGUGUCACAUUGACAACAGCAAAGCUUUGCUCCAAUUCAAGAACUCAUUUUCCAUUGAUCAUACCCUAUCUUGUGGUCCUGAUUUUCCUUCUCCGACAAUCUCUUGGGAGAGUGGCACAGAUUGUUGUGGAUGGAGCGGAGUCACCUGUAAUAACAUAACAGGUCAUGUGAUCGGCCUCGAUCUUACUUGCGGCAUGCUUCGGGGAAUUAUUCAUUCCAACAGCAGCCUUUUCCUCCUUCGCCAUCUCCAGACUCUGAUCCUCUCACAGAAUGAUUUCAGAGGCUCCACCAUUCCCCCUGAAUUUGGUAAGUUUGCAGAUUUGCUACACCUUAGAAUCUUGUUUGCUAAAUUUACAGGGGAUAUACCACUCGAAAUAUCCUACCUAUCUAAGCUUCAAACAUUUGAAGUUUAUGAUGAAAAUCAACAACUGAGACUAAACACAUCUACCUUUAACAGAAUUGUCACAAACCUAACCAACCUCCAAAACCUCACUCUGGAUUCUGUUGAUAUGUCUCGUGUCGAUCCUGCUUCUUUGAUGAAUUUGUCAUCUUCUUUGACAUCUCUUGAUCUCUGGGAUUGUGGGUUGCGAGGGAAUUCACCCAAUACCAUUUUCUACCUACCAAAACUCGAAAUCCUUUCCUUAUUCAGCAAUGAAAAUCUUACAGGUUCUCUACCUAAAUAUAACUGGAGCAGUUCACUCAGGGAAUUGGGUCUUUCUGGAUCAAAUUUCUCAAUAGAUAUACUUUAUCUAACUAAAAAUUUGAAGUCAUUGGACGGAUUGUACCUUAGCAACUGCAGGUUCAUAGGAUCAUAUCCGGUUUUGUUUGGAAACCUUACACAACUUACUUCCAUAGACCUCUCCUACAAUAAUAUCAGUGGCCAGAUCCCAUGGUCGUCUUUUAAUCUAAAAGGUCUCACCUUUUUAUAUCUUAUAGGUAACAAUUUUAUAGGUGAGCUUCCUAAAAUUGAUAGUUAUAAUUCUAGCCAAAUUUCUCUCUCACCUCAUUCUUCAAAAAACAAAUCACUCGGUCCUGUUCCAUGGAAUUUAGAAUCGCUUGACUUAUAUAAUAACUUCCUAAAUGGAACAAUUCCAAAUUGGUUAUUUGCUCUUCCAUCUUUGAAGUCUUUAGACCUUGGGAAUAACGAAUUCACUGGCCACAUUCCGAAAUUCGAGACAACUUCUUUGAUUUUCCUUUCUUUAAAUAAUAACAAACUAAAUGGGUCCAUUCCAAUAUCAAUCUUUCAGCUAGUGAAUCUCACUUCUUUAGAUCUUUCAUUAAAUACACUUUCAUCAUUCAGUUCUACCUCCUCCAAACACUCGGCCAGCCACAGCAUUUUGCCUAAUUUAGAAGAUCUAAGACUUUCACACAAUAAAAUUCAAGGAAAUGUUCCUAAAUGGCUAUUCAACGUGGGUAGAGAUUCUUUGAAAUGGCUUGAUCUUUCAUACAAUUUUCUGACAAAUAUAGAGCGAAUUCCAUGGAAAAACUUGCAAGUUCUUGAUCUUAGCUCCAACUUCCUUGACGGACAUCUUCCACCAUGCAUUGGAAAUUUACAAUAUCUAAGUCUUUCACACAACCAAAUUCGAGGCAAUAUUCCCAAAUGGAUAUGGAAUGCGGAUACAGAUUCUUUGUAUUAUCUUAAUCUUUCUCACAAUUUUCUGACAAAUAUCGACCGAAUUCCAUGGAAAAACUUGCAGUAUCUUGAUCUUGGCUCCAACAUCCUUCAUGGACAUCUUCCAAUUCCACCACCAUCUAUUGAAGUCUUUUCUAUAUCACACAAUCAAUUGAUUGGAGAGGUACCUUCACUGAUUUGCAACCUUAGUUCCCUUAAAGUUCUGGAUUUAGCUAAUAAUAGUUUGAGUGGGAAAUUCCCUCCAUGUAUGGGAAAUUUAAGUGGCAAUCUCUCAGUUUUGGAUCUAAGAAUGAAUAAGUUUCAGGGAACAAUUCCUACAAAAUUGUUAGCAAAGGAAAACAUACUAAGAAAUCUGAACUAGAAUGGAAAUGAAUUUGAAGGUUCAUUGCCACAAUCUUUGCUCAACUGUAAGAAGUUGGAGGUUUUAGACAUUGGAAAUAACCAGAUAAAUGGUACGUUUCCGUACUGGUUGGAGUCUCUUCCAAUGUUGCAGGUUCUUAUUUUGAGAUCCAACAAAUUUUAUGGCUCCGUUGCUAGUCCCAUGGCCAGAUUUCCUUUCAAAAAGUUGCGGAUAUUGGACCUUGCCGACAAUGAGUUUAGUGGGAAAUUGCCAACAAAAUAUUUUGAAAGUUUGAUGGCAAUGAUGGAAGCAAAUACCACUAAAUUGGAAUAUAUGGGAGAAGACUAUUACCAAGAUUCUGUAUUGAUGGAGAUGAAAGGCAUCCUUAUUGAGCUAGUGAAAAUUCAAACUAUUUUCACUACCAUUGAUCUCUCCAAAAAUAAUUUUGAAGGAGAGAUUCCAAAAUUGCUUGGGAACCUCAGAUCACUCAAAGGGCUUAACUUUUCUCAUAACAAAUUGACGGGUUCUAUUCCUCCAUCAUUGGGAAACUUAAGCAGUCUUGAAUGGUUAGACCUUUCUUCAAAUCAGCUUGUUGGUAGGAUUCCUCAACAGUUGACAGAUAUAACGUUUCUUGAAGUAUUAAACCUGUCCAAUAACAGUUUGGAUGGACCCAUUCCAAGUGGCAAGCAAUUUGAUACGUUUGAGAAUACUUCGUACAGUGGAAACUUGGGGUUAUGUGGACUUCCAUUGACCAAAACAUGUAGCAAUGAUGUUGACGAGGUACAAAAAGAAGGUGAUGAGUAUGAGCAAACAAAUGGGUUUGACAUCUGGAAGAUUAUAGUGAUUGGCUAUGGAUGUGGAGUGGUGGUUGGAAUAUCAAUUGGAUACAUGGUGCUUUCAGAUAGAAGAAUUGCCCUGUUUUUUAUGAAAAAGCUUGGAGGAGAACGAUGGAUUAGAAGGAUCAGACGUUGGAAAGGUUGAUGGAUGAUGUUCAAGCAUGUUGAACAUGUCAUGUGAAUGUGGAUGUCGAAUGUCAUGUGGAUGUGGAUGUGGAACUUCUGCGUAAGGUUUCAAUCUCCUCUCUGCUACUCACACUUCUCGGAAAAAACUGAGGCUUGGAGGAACUGAAAGCAAGCAGUGGCUUCAGCUUCAACGUUUUGUUCUGAGCUUAACAUUCAUAGAAACGACGGCGUCUUAAGUCCUAGAAUUCGGUUCUCUGCGAGCCUACCAAUCGGGCUUCUCCGGAAAAUCAUUUCCAUUGUCAAUCCAGAAAGCUCCACAGAAUUGGACCGGUCCAUUUCCACGACCCAGUUCGAAUUCGAUUAUCCGCAUCGCAAUAGCAUCACACUUUCAAUGUCGUCAUCAUCGGGUUGACCGUUGCCUGGCAGUUCUUGAUGGGGUCGGACCUAUCCGUGGCUGUGGUCUACAAAGCCGUACCUUGUUCUGGUGCCACUGGUGCUGUUGCGGACACUUAUGGAUGUUACAUAAAACCCCUAGCACACAUAUUUGUGAUUUGGCAAUCAGAGGUCACAGGCUUUGGGUGAUGUUGGCUGAGCAGGGCUUGGAUCCUCUUCAACAUUUGGUUUGGAAGAAUAAAGGAAGCAUCUUAAUUGGUGGAAGCCCUGAAGAGUUGGAUGCAUUCCAAGGGAGAGUGAAUUUUCUACGGGAUUCUGGGUUAAGAGCAGAGUAUCUGUCAGGAUGCUGGGUUAAGAGCAGUAUCUGUCUGGUGGUGAACUGCUUUUAAAGGAACCUGCUCUCCUGGUUGAUGAAGAUCGUGGGGCUGCAUUUGUACCUGGUGACCGUCAAUAGGAUGUUCAAUGUGCUACUGCAUAUAUUCAAGAGGGUCUUAUAUAUGCGUACACAUCCAUACAAAGACACACAAACUUACACAUUUUACAUAGUUAAUGUAGUUACUGUUCAUGUGUAGGUUAACAUGCAUUUUUCAUCUGAAGGCAGACAUGUUGAAUUCUUUUAUGAUCCAGUGACAAGUUUGUUUAGGUUCGUUCUCAACCUUUUUGGUUGUGCUAGAAGCUGCAAUGACUGGCCAAAUAUAAAAAUGGAAAGUGUGUCAAGGUUUUGAUAUGCAUUGUUGGAGUGACAGUUGAUCCUAAUUGCCAGAUGUGAUAGCAGUGAGGAGGUUGUAGCUGUUAAGACGUCCAAGAACACCUUACAUAGUAAGAAGGCCAUUGUUGUGGCAGCUGGUUGCUGGAGUGGGUCACUGAUGCAUGACCUGUUUAGGGAAGCUGAAAAUGUGCUGGAUGCCGCUGUAAAACCUCGAAAGGGUCACCUGUUAGUACUUGAAAAUUUUGAUUCUUUUAAAGUUAAUCAUGGUCUGAUGGAGGCUGGAUAUGUCAACCGUCAAACUGCAACUACAGUUCCCAGAACCUUGACUUCAGAAGCAUUUGAUCAUGGGCAAACAUUGUAUAUUGCAAUGACAGCCACUAUGGAUGCAAUGGGGAACCUUGUUCUUGGGAGCAGCAGCCAGUUUGCUGGAUUGAGCAGUGAAGUUGAAGAAUACAUUUUGAAUAGCAUAUGGAAUAGAGCCACAGAAUUCUUUCCCAAACAAAGAGAACAACCCUUUUCAGAUUUUAUCAAGAACAGAAGAGUGUGAACAGGAUUGUGACCUUUCAUGCCUGAUAGGAAGCAAGUAAUUGGGCAGGUGCCAGGUUUGCCAAAUGUGUCUCUUGCAACCGUUCAUGGAGGAGGACUUUCUGUGGUAAUAUUCUUUGUUAUCUUUCCUAAGAUAUAAAGCAAUCUCAAGUUUCUAUAAUAACAAUGUCCCUAAUAUUAGCUAGUUUUACCGUUAACCCAUGAUUCUGUUCAUACUGUUUUACUGGCUAAGCUAGAAUGGAGGAUUGCUUCUCAUGGGUUUAUAUGGUUUCAGCAAAUGUUGUAACUGUUGCUGGUUAUUGUGGUACAAAUUUGUAGGCUCUGGGGACUGCCGAAAUGGUUGCUGAUAUGGUGCCGGGCAAUUCGGAAGAAGUGAUUCUGCAUCUUUUGCUGUCAAGGCUGAUGUUGUAAAUAAGACACAUUCAAGUGCGUACAAGAGUAACCGCACAUAUAAUUGUUGUAUUUCAUUUAGUUGUUCUUACUAAAUAUGCAAUUAAGUGACAAAAUGAACUAACAAGUAAGAACAACUCCGUAUUCUUUAUUCAAGUCUGUAAACUAACAAGUAUGAACAAGUACAUAUGCAAUUAAGUGACAAAACGAAAGAAUUAUUUAAGUAAACUAUAAUGGUUAGCUUGUCUCAUAACUAUAGAUGCACAAAAUUUAGAAAUUC